AAUAUUUCAAUUUUUCUUUAACAACAUGAAAUAACUUUAAUAACCAACUUUUUUUAAUUUCAUUCUAUUUGUAAAAUAACAAAAUCUUGGUUACAAAAUAGAAAGCAAAGAAAAUUGAUGGAAAAUAUAUUUGUUAGUUUACCGAAUAAAAUUCUAAUAAGAUAGUAGGCAAAUAGUAGCUCACUAGAACAAAGCUCCAUCAGGGACGAAUAUUCCAGUAUACCGUAAUUUGAUUUUUCGAAACUUGUGAUCAAGGUGAAAUGUUCUAGUUAACUGCAGUCUGAUUGGACGACUCAAGAUGCCAAUAUGUCAAAGGCAUUCCAAUACCAAAGAACUCCCCUCGUUAUCAGAAGGAUAAUCAUAUGAAAAAGAUGGUAUAGUAGAAUGAAGAAUAGAAUGACGAACAAAGCUAACCAGGUAUUAAUUUAAUGCCACAAAAUUUAAUAAAAUAUUAGAAAUUAUUAGAUUGAUGGAGCUGAGAUUGGUUUUUUUUUGUAUUUCAACUAAAGAUACUCAUUUGUAAAACAAAAGAUUAACAUAAUAAAUAUAUUAAUUUUUGUC
rnacentral:misc_RNA from 1 species